rnacentral:lncRNA from 1 species
GGGGCGGCGGGGUUGGCUCUAACGAAUUUGAAUGAGGAGUCUCAGCGCUUUCGGCGCCAUUUUCGAGUGAUGCCUGAUCUCAUCAAUCUAGCGGGAGGGAAGGGAUAACCUGUCCGAGCCUAGCGCGACGCUAGGAUCACGCCGGAAAAUCCCCCAAAAAUCAUCAAAAAAAUUAACUUAGAGCAGAGGGCAGUCGGUGGGGCUUCGCCAGAUGCGGCGCAGUCGUUGUUACCUGUUAAGUCAUUAAGAACCAGAAAGGGUGAAACAAAUGAAAAAAAUAAAUAACGUUGCAUUUUCACCUCGAUUUGGGAGCAGUAAAAGAUUUUAACCAUUAGAAGAAUACCAGUUCUGGAAAACAACCAAAGUUUCUUUGAUUGAAUGCCCAUGUAAUGCAUUGGAAUAUGAUAGGCGAUUAAGGUUUAACAAUGUUAAAAUGAAGAUAUUACUAAAAUGGCCCUCUAAAUAGCCCAACAAUUAUUAUUUUCUUUGUCCUAUGGAUUUGGCUUUGAAAGAUGUGCUGCUCUUAAUAAGCUUUUCAUUCUGCCGGCCAUACUUUUUCUCCCUACUCUGGACGCCUCUAGAUGACUCCAGCUGUGCUCUCCUUCGUAAUCUACACACCCUCCUCAACCAUACCCUGGACCAGUCAUGUCCUCAUCUCAGACACGACUUUUCUGGUGAGAAACUGAAUUCUUUCAAUGCAUGCUUCCUUAUACCAGAUUGCCUUGGUUUCUCUAUAGUCAAUUUGAAGGCUUAAAUUUGAAUUCUGUAAAUAAAGAUUCUGAAAAACUA